ACGGGGGGGGCAAGCGUUGUUCGGAAUUACUGGGCGUAAAGCGCACGUAGGCGGGCGAUUAAGUCAGGGGUGAAAUCCCGGAGCUCAACUUCGGAACUGCCUCUGAUACAGCACGUUUUGAGUCCGGAAGAGGUGGGUGGAAUUCCUAGUGUAGAGGUGAAAUUCGUAGAUAUUAGGAAGAACACCGGUGGCGAAGGCGGCCCACUGGUCCGGUACUGACGCUGAGGUGCGAAAGCGUGGGGAGCAAACAGGA
rnacentral:rRNA from 1 species